rnacentral:tRNA from 1 species
AAACUUAGGUUACCCAAACCAAGGGCCUUCAAAGCCCUAAACAGGGGCCUAGUCUCUG